rnacentral:rRNA from 1 species
GAGUUUGAUCAUGGCUCAGAUUGAACGCUGGCGGCAUGCCUUACACAUGCAAGUCGAACGGCAGCACGGGAGCAAUCCUGGUGGCGAGUGGCGAACGGGUGAGUAAUAUAUCGGAACGUGCCCAGUCGUGGGGGAUAACGUAGCGAAAGCUACGCUAAUACCGCAUACGAUCUACGGAUGAAAGCGGGGGACUCGCAAGAGCCUCGCGCGAUUGGAGCGGCCGAUAUCAGAUUAGGUUGUUGGUGAGGUAAAAGCUCACCAAGCCUGCGAUCUGUAGCUGGUCUGAGAGGACGACCAGCCACACUGGAACUGAGACACGGUCCAGACUCCUACGGGAGGCAGCAGUGGGGAAUUUUGGACAAUGGACGCAAGUCUGAUCCAGCAAUGCCGCGUGCAGGACGAAGGCCUUCGGGUUGUAAACUGCUUUUGUACGGAACGAAACGGUCUUCUUUAAUACAGAGGGCUAAUGACGGUACCGUAAGAAUAAGCACCGGCUAACUACGUGCCAGCAGCCGCGGUAAUACGUAGGGUGCGAGCGUUAAUCGGAAUUACUGGGCGUAAAGCGUGCGCAGGCGGUUAUAUAAGUCAGAUGUGAAAUCCCCGGGCUCAACCUGGGACCUGCAUUUGAGACUGUAUAGCUAGAGUACGGUAGAGGGGGAUGGAAUUCGCGUGUAGCAGUGAAUGCGU